rnacentral:tRNA from 1 species
GGCGGCCGGACCAUCCGGCUCAACGUGGUCGGCGAUCUGGGCGCCGCGAGCUGGCGGCCGGUCCGGCUCACCCCCGGUUCGUGCUUCUCGGUGGCCGCCG